CACGUAGUUAGCCGGGGCUUCUUACUCAGGUACUGUCAUCUUCUUCCCUGCUGAUAGAGCUUUACAUACCUAAAUACUUCUUCACUCACGCGGCGUCGCUGCAUCAGGGUUUCCCCCAUUGUGCAAUAUCCCCCACUGCUGCCUCCCGUAGGAGUUUGGGCCGUGUCUCAGUCCCAAUGUGGCCGUCCGCCCUCUCAGGCCGGCUACUGAUCGUCGCUUUGGAGGCCGUUACCCUGCCAACUGGCUAAUCAGACGCGGGUCCAUCGUAUGCCACCGGAGUUUUUCACACAAAAGCAUGCGCUCUCGUGCGCUUAUGCGGUGUUAGCACCUAUUUCUAAGUGUUAUCCCCCUGCAUACGGCAGGUUACCCACGCGUUACUCACCCGUCGCCACUAAGUUAACACCUUCUCCACUCCUAGCAAGCUAUUUGCUUUAAAAUGUUAACUCCGUUCGACUUGCAUGUGUUAAGCACGCCGCAGCGUUCAUCGCGAGCCAGGAUA
rnacentral:rRNA from 1 species